rnacentral:lncRNA from 1 species
UGCAGCACGACAAAGAGAACAGGUAGUGAGCUAUCAUUAAACAUCACAAUAUGAUUUUCUCGUUGGAAAGUGGCUGAGGAGUCUCAAGCUGUCUUUGGCCUGAGGUGUCCCUUGAAGGGAAAGGUGGGGAUCUUUCCCAGGAGAUGCCAAUUUAGACUUGAUCCAAUGAUUAGUGGAAGAUGCUGGAGGAUGCCUCAUUGCUGCUGUCCAAGCAUGAAUUGAUGCUGGAUAAGGGUGUCUCCUUGCACUGGAUACAACAGAGUUUCCAGGGGCUAAUUAGGAUGGCGCUUACAUGUGCCAUUAUGCACAUCAGUUCUGGUGGGGAAAUUCCCCUGAGCAGCAGCCGCUAUUUGGCACAAAUCACUAGAACUUUCUCUGAAUACUUCACUUGAGCUUCCUCUAGGUAAGUGAUACUUAGCUUGGACAUCUUCUGACAAUUUACACUAGCACCAUGUUCUUUGAUCAGAGGGUAGCUAAAAUAAAUGCAUAGUCUCAGGGCAUGUGCAGAGUUCCAGCUGAAUUGAGCUUCUUGGUAACAAAGCAGAUUUGUUUUAAUUAAUAACUAUAUCAAUGUUUUCAUUGAUUAACAGGUUGAGACCGCUGCCUUUUUUCUUGUUCUUGUUCUUUUUUUUUAACCUGUAGGAGCAUUUUUUAAAUCCGGGGUGCUACAAGUUAAAGGUGUAAUUUUUAUUUUCUGAAGGCUGUUUUGGCUUGGGCAAAUUGCCAAAAUUUGGGGAAGCAAAAAUGCUAAAGAGGGACUUGUGUUUGCUGAACAGUAACUGAUCUUGCAGUUGCUUCACGAUCUCAAGGAAAGCACCUAAAAUAUUGCAUACCUCCAACGCUUUAAAGAUGAAAAUUGUGUGCAAGGGGGUCCGUAAUGUCACACCAUGGGUGCUUUCCUGCGAGACUCUUCCCACUGUUUUAAGGAACUCUGCAACAGCAUGCCUUCUCAAAUCGGAUGUGUGUGUAAACUGGCCCCAAAUGUUCCACUUAGCUGCAGUUGAAAAACAUGGAGCAACUACUCGCAUAGGUGUGCGUGUGCGUAGAAUGAUGUAAAGGAAGCCUAGCGUUGACAUUGUGUGCACAUAUUUACUUUCACAUGAACUAGUCAAAAAUAUGCAUCACCCCUACUUUCCCACACUCCACCUAGGGAUAACUGAGGAAAUCAAUGUAUGUGAAUUCUAAUGCCAGCUGACCAGAUCUGUACCUGUUGUCAUAAUGUGCAGGUCAAAAUGAAAUGAUCCUCCGGAUUUCAUACUUCUCUGAAUUUUGCAUUAGCCAUCUCCUUAGAAAAAACAAAACCACAACAUAACACUGUGCAUCUGCAAAUACCUUCAGAGAUACGUACACCAAAAUUUGGUACAAAUUUUCAUGCGGCUUUUAAAAUCCACAGAUUGAUGCAGAAUGGGUUAGAACAGGUUUAUGAAUGAACGCAUGUGAAACUGAUGUGAACUGGAAGCAGGCUGAUCCAUCUGUUCCUAUCCUCACCUGGGAGAUAUUUGAAAAUUAUUAUUAUUAUUAUUAUUAUUAUUAUUAUUAUUAUUUCUAAGACAGAGGGCCAAAAUCAUGGUGGCCGGGGGGGAAUGUCAUGUGCUUUCGUGCACACUAUAAGGAUGUUUUGAAACACCAUUCCACAAUAUCUCCCCAAAAGGCCAAAUGGGGACAACCAGACAUAGAUUCCAGAAAAUAGAUACUGUCUAUUCCUGAUGUUGAAACAAGCAAACAACGCAGACAGUUGGAGUACAUGAAGUUCUGGAACUCAGCAAACUUAUUUCAGUUCGAUUUAUCAAUCCAUUAAUUAGAAACCAGAUUACUGAUUUUAUACAGAUAAUGAAAUGAAGAAAGCCAAUUUGAUGGGAUCGAGCAAGUCCAAUUUUAAUCAGAAAAGACAACUUUGAGUGGGUCUCGACUCUCUUUUAAUUGUGGUGGUUUCUCAGGGCGCCAUCAGAAGAGAUUCUCCUUCUACCCAAUAGUCAAACUACUUCACUUUGACACACUUCAGCACUGUUUAUUUCAUGGCCACAACGCAAGGGAUGAUCGAAUGUGCUUCAGGCACAGCAUGUUGUGACAUGAAUGUAAAGAGAUAAUUCUCUUGUUUUAUGAAAUCAAGGUAGCCAAGCAGUCACAUUAGUGAUAAAUAAUAAGCUAGAUAACGUUCAGGCUUGUAACCGUUGAGUGUUCAGAAAUGCUUUGAAAUCCUUAAAGAUCUCAUAUUCUUCCAUGCCUAAUCUUCCAUGUCUGGGAGGUUUCACUUGGUUAGGGAGCAUAGAAGCUUUCACUUUAAUAAAUGCAAGUCUUUGUGAGCCACUUGUGCCCAUAGCUUGUGCAUGUCCUGGAAGAUUUUUUUUUUUCACUUCAAAGAACAGUCAAAAUACUGUAUCACAUGCAGGUUUUGGAACUCCUCUCGUUUUCAAGUGUGGCUUGCUGUGAAGCAUUUGAUGGGGAGCUGUUGAAUGAAAAACUACUUGUGUGGUUCUUUAUUUAGCUUCCUGUUUACGCAGUCAAAGGCAGCAGUUAAUUAAAUAAAUGGUGCAUCUAUCAAGAAAAUGGUGAAGUCCUUUGGAUGCUACCAAGUAUAAUGUUGAGAGCAGAGGCCAUAAUUUACGGUUAGAUGUUCUUAUGUCUGCGGCUGCUGACCAGGUUCUUGAGUCCAGACACAAUUCUCUCUCCCCCCCCCCCCCUUUUUAAGAAGCCUUAAUGGUGCUUCUCUGACUUUGGCACAUCAAAGACAAGUCAUAGCAUUCUGAGCUGGGCUUCUCUGGUCCACGGUUCAUAGCAGAGGUGGGAAAUCUGUGAUCCUCCAGGUCUUGUUGGAUGAUUCCAACUUCCAUCACCUUUAGGCAUGCUGGCUGGGGCUGGUGGGAGUUGGGAAUUGGACCACAGGUCCCUGAACCCUGGAUUGCAGGGAUUGAAUUUAUACUUGCACCCCAUUGCCCAUCAGUGAAUCUAUGGCAUCGAGAUGUGCCGCAGGCUGAUGAGACACAUGUUUCAAAGCUUUAAAUGGCCAACAUUUGGAAGGGAAUCCGUUCAGUGAAAACUGAACACAAUUACACUUCAUUUCCAAAUAAGCUUCCAUCGCUUUUGGGGAGGGUGGAAGAGAAGGGGAAAACAUUAAGACUAAGUAGCAUGGCUUAAUGUGUUUUUCUUUGCGCAACUUAAUGCACUUGGUGCACUUUGACCUCCUUCUCAUGGCCGACCUACAUGCUACACUGGGAGAUUUGAUUAAAUCUCCAAGUGUGGGCUUUUGUUUUCUUGUUUUAUGAAAUGCUGUCGUGGGAAGGAGUUGAUCAGGGGAAAUGACUUGGUGGCUGCGGGUGUCGGUGCUUCCCCCACCUGUGCCACAGUCCCAAAAUAAAUCAGCUUUUUCUUUCUUUCACACACACACACACACACACACACUCCUAUUAGCUGCUUAGGGAUUACAAUGGGAGCUCUUGUAUAGUUUGUGUACAGUUUUCUUCUCUAAUGCAACUAGCUUGAAGAGGGAUAUAUAGAUUAUGAUGAUUUUUUAAGACAAUGAAGAGGAUAAGGGUAAAAUACCUGCUUGUAGUGCUUUUCUAAUCAAAUUGCUCAGAGGGAGAAAACAUCUGGACUCCUGGCUCUCCUAAUAUAAUGUGUAGUUUGGACUGAAGUAGUAAGCCUGUGUCUAUACUGUGACUCCAAUUUUUCUGUCCCCAUCCCACCCUGGCAGAGCAUUCCCAUCACAACUACACAGAUGGGACACACCACACCCCCCCUCCACCGUCCAAAAAAGAAAACGAACCCUGACCACUAGGUACUCCUGACCAUUAGGUCCAGUCACGGACGACUCUGGUGUUGUGCGCUCAUCUCGCUCUAUAGGUUGAGGGAGCCGGUGUUUGUCUGCAGACAGCUUCCGGGUCAUGUGGUCAGCAUGACUAAGCCGCUUCUGGAGAACCAGAGCAGUGCACAGAAAAGCCGUUUACCUUCCCACUGGAGUGGUACCUAUUUAUCUACCUGCACUUUGACGUGCUUUCAAAGUGCUAGGUGGGCAGGAGCUGGGACCGAACAACGGGAGCUCACCCCAUCACGGGGAUUCAAACCGCCGACUUUCCGAUCGGCAGGCCCUAGGCUCUGUGGUUUUGACCACAGCGCCACCCGUGUCCCUUUCGUAAACUUUAACUUUCUUAAACACCCAUGCAAAAACAAACAUUGUAAAUAUGUGCUUCAAAGUAUAUCUUCUAUCCAAAUACAGUGGUGCCUCGCAAGACGAAAUUAAUUCGUUCCGCGAGUUUUGUCGUCUUGCGAUUUUUUUCGUCUUGCGAAGCACGGUGUCGGGAAAGUUUUGGAAAAGCUUCAAAAAUCACCAAAGUCUUUAAAAACCUCAAAAAAGGCUACCACACUUCUAUGAGUUGCUCCUCGAAGUCAAGUCGCAACUGUAUUAACGGUGUUAAGAAAAAGGAAACAAACUUGCAAGACGUUUCCGUCUUGCGAAGCAAGCCCAUAGGGAAAAUCGUCUUGUGAAGCAGCUCAAAAAACAAAAAACCCUUUCGUCUAGCGAGUUUUUUGUCUUGCGAGGCAUUCGUCUUGCGAGGUACCACUGUAUGCACUGGUAGAUGUAUUUUGAUUGAUUUACUUUUCUGAGUUGACGAUUGGAUUGGCAGAUGUGUGAAGCAAGAGAGCCGGUAGGUCUCGUAAGCUUCGAUCGGCACAUUUGUUCGAGAGGAGCUGAUAGGCCACUUCAUACUGGGAUUUCCAAAGGUUGAAUUCCUCGAGCAUCAUCUCUAAUGGCUGAUGUCUUUCCCACAUUCCAACAAUGCACACAGCAAUUCUGGGAACUGGGUAAAAACUGACGGAGGAUGCAUUUUUGUAGAAGCACAAAUUGGCAGAAACCUGAGAGCUUUGGCAGGGCCAUUGAAUGGGGAUUGCUGGCUGCCACUGAACAGCUGCAAAGUGUUUGAGGGAAGAGCAUAACUUUCAGGGGGGAAGUGGUAGUGGGGGGAAAGCAAGACCCUUUUCCUGAUGGCAUUUUUCUUCUGUCACCUCCCACAGCCCGUUCCUGUGUUGUGUUGCAGAGAAAAGCAGCUGGAGGGCGGAGAGAGAGAGAGAGAGAGAGAGAGAGAGAGAGAGAGAGAGACUAUCCAUUCACCUCCCUUCUUUGCUAGCACUCUCCCAGUGAAGGUUAGUGUGAAUGAGUCUCUGCCCCAGCAUCUUCAGUCUGCCCUCACCUGCACCCAGCCCUUCCUGCACCCAGUCCAGUGGGUGACACUGGCUGCCAGUUUCCUCCCCCUCAAGUGUCAUGGAUUGGUUGGAUGCAGAAGAAUGGUGGGAGGAACCAGCUGGGGAACCACAUAGGGAAGAAGGCUCAGAUCCCAGGGAAUGGUGGUGGGACAACAAUGAGUAGUCAGAGGAAGAAGAGGAGGUGUCAGAAGCCAAGAGAUAACAGGGCUUAGUGAGCUGGCAGAGAGAAGUCCAGAAUCAGAGGCUGAAGCAGGUGGGUGGAGGGUGGAAACCCAAGAGGUAGAGAUGAGUCAGGCUGGUAAAGAGCCAUGAGUGACUCCCCCUCCUGAUGAUAUAAGCUCCCCCUGAUCUCCCAGAGCCAGAAGAGGCAGAAAAAGGGCAGAGGAGAGGUUGGCGAUGCAUGGUCACAGUCUCUGAAUGCUUGGGGAAAACCCUGGAGAGGAGGGGAUUUAGGGAGCAGUGGGGAGGUGAGGACCUUCAGUCUCAGCAACUGCUUCAUGGGGGCAACACCUAUCAGAGAAGAGGUUGCUGUGCCCAUUAGGCCUGACACUCCUGUGUUGAUUGUUUUUUUUUUUAAUUUUUUUGCUAAGAAAUAGUUAACUCCAACUUGCUUGGUGUGAUUUACUGCUGGCUCGCUCCUGACAUCAAGUCUCAGUGUCUCAGAGAGCCAGUGUGGUGUAGUGGUUAAGAGCAGUAGUCUCGUAAUCUGGUGAACCGGGUUCGCGUCUCCGCUCCUCCACAUGCAGCUGCUGGGUGACCUUGGGCUAGUCACGCUUCUCUGAAGUCUCUCAGCCCCACUCACCUCACGGAGAGUUUGUUGUGGGGGAGGAAGGGAAAGGAGAAUGUUAGCCGCUUUGAGACUCCUUAGGGUAGUGAUAAAGCGGGAUAUCAAAUCCAAACUCUUCUUCUUCUUCUGUAGAACUCAGCAGGGAGAAGGAUGGGGACAUAACUCGAAUAAGCUGACUGCCUGUCAUUGGUUCUGCCUCCACCUACUGUUGGUCUUCCUGCUUUCCACCC